CUUCUUUGCUUUUGCGGACGUAGGUUAAGUCAGUUGGCCAGAGCAGUGAAUGUGUGCCCUUUCACUAAUCUCCUCUUCGUAGAUUAUAUCAAUAUAAAGUUUGUGUAUUGGCAUGGUUGUAGAUAUGUUGUGCUGGAAACUUUUGCCGGCGGCACUAUGGAAUGGAUCAUGAAGAGGCUAGGAGGCAAAUUGCUGGCAGGAAAGUUCUUAGUUUCUUCGACUGGUGAUUGCUGUUAUGCGGCUUUGGAAACUUUCCUCAGCCUAGUAAGUUUCACGUGCUUUUACUUCAUCUUUGAUCAUUCUCUCGGUAAAUUGAAGGGGCCUAUGAGGGAUAGAUUUUGAAACUCAAUAUAUUGGCUCAGAUAUUUUCCAAAUUUAUGAACGAUUUGAUCAGUUUGCCUGAUGAUUAAUGUGGAUAGUGAUGGAAAUGUAGCUGGUCAGCCUGGUGGGCAGUUAAUGAUCA